rnacentral:misc_RNA from 1 species
AAGUCGUAACAAGGUUUCCGUAGGUGAACCUGCGGAAGGAUCAUUACUGAGCUAGGGUCUUUAUGGCCCAACCUCCAACCCCGUGUGAACGAACGCAUGUUGCUUCGGUGGGCCUCGGUGCCUGCCGGAGAUCUGAAUAUACUCUUUUAGUUUGUGUCGUCUGAGUACCAUAUAACAAAAUUGUUAAAACUUUCAACAACGGAUCUCUUGGUUCCC